rnacentral:rRNA from 1 species
AGCGAACGCUGGCGGCAGGCCUAACACAUGCAAGUCGAACGAACUCUUCGGAGUUAGUGGCGGACGGGUGAGUAACACGUGGGAACGUGCCUUUUGGUUCGGAAUAACUCAGGGAAACUUGUUCUAAUACCGAAUGUGCCCUUCGUGGGAAAGAUUUAUCGCCAUUAGAGCGGCCCGCGUCUGAUUAGCUAGUUGGUGAGGUAACGGCUCACCAAGGCGACGAUCAGUAGCUGGUCUGAGAGGAUGACCAGCCACACUGGGACUGAGACACGGCCCAGACUCCUACGGGAGGCAGCAGUGGGGAAUCUUGCGCAAUGGGCGAAAGCCUGACGCAGCCAUGCCGCGUGAAUGAUGAAGGUCUUAGGAUUGUAAAAUUCUUUCACCGGGGACGAUAAUGACGGUACCCGGAGAAGAAGCCCCGGCUAACUUCGUG